rnacentral:rRNA from 1 species
ACGGCUCAGUAACACGUGGACAACCUACCCUGAGGUCGGGGAUAAACCCGGGAAACUGGGUAUAAUACCCGAUAGAUCUAGAUCGCUGGAAUGCUUUUAGGUCUAAAGUUCCGACGCCUCAGGAUGGGUCUGCGGCCUAUCAGGGUAGUAGUGGGUGUAAAGUACCUACUAGCCUACGACGGGUACGGGUUGUGAGAGCAAGAGCCCGGAGAUGGAUUCUGAGACACGAAUCCAGGCCCUACGGGGUGCAGCAGGCGCGAAACCUUUACAAUGCUGGCAACAGCGAUAAGGGGACCUCGAGUGCUACGAUACAAUCGUGGCUGUCUAGUUGCCUAAAAAGCAAUUGAUAGCAAGGGCCGGGCAAGACCGGUGCCAGCCGCCGCGGUAACACCGGCGGCUCGAGUGGUAACCGCUAUUAUUGGGUCUAAAGGGUCCGUAGCCGGCUUAGUUAGUCUCUUGAGAAAUCUGGCCGCUCAACGGUCAGGCGUUCAGGGGAUACUGCUAAAGCUCGAGACCGGGAGAGGUGAGAGGUACUUCAGGGGUAGGGGUGAAAUCUUGUAAUCCUUGAAGGACCACCAGUGGCGAAGGCGUCUCACCAGAACGGAUCUGACGGCAAGGGACGAAAGCUAGGGGCACGAACCGGAUUAGAUACCCGGGUAGUCCUAGCCGUAAACGAUACUCGCUAGGUGUCGGCCACGGUGCGACCGUGGUCGGUGCCGUAGGGAAGCCGUGAAGCGAGCCACCUGGGAAGUACGGCCGCAAGGCUGAAACUUAAAGGAAUUGGCGGGGGAGCAC